UGCGAGCGUUGUCCGGAAUUACUGGGCGUAAAGAGCUCGUAGGUGGUUUGUCGCGUCGUCUGUGAAAUUCCGGGGCUUAACUCCGGGCGUGCAGGCGAUACGGGCUGACUUGAGUGCUGUAGGGGAGACUGGAAUUCCUGGUGUAGCGGUGAAAUGCGCAGAUAUCAGGAGGAACACCGAUGGCGAAGGCAGGUCUCUGGGCAGUAACUGACGCUGAGGAGCGAAAGCAUGGGUAGCGAACAGGAUUAGAUACCCUGGUAGUCCAUGCCGUAAACGGUGGGCGCUAGGUGUAGGGGGCUUCCACGUCUUCUGUGCCGUAGCUAACGCAUUAAGCGCCCCGCCUGGGGAGUACGGCCGCAAGGCUAAAACUCAAAGGAAUUGACGGGGGCCCGCACAAGCGGCGGAGCAUGUGGAUUAAUUCGAUGCAACGCGAAGAACCUUACCUGGGCUUGACAUAUACAAGACAGGCGUAGAGAUACGUCCUCCCUUGUGGUUUGUAUACAGGUGGUGCAUGGUUGUCGUCAGCUCGUGUCGUGAGAUGU
rnacentral:rRNA from 1 species